UAAAUAUUUUAUAUAUUUUUUGAAAUAUUUUUUUUCUGUGAGUUGGCACGUAUCCGCGAUUCAAAUUCAACCGAUUCGCACCCGUCCUGCUUAAAACCGACUCGACCCUCUUUUGAAUUGGCCAUCCACACCGUCUCGCGGCGGAUCAAACGGGGCUGGAUCCGCGGAUAAAGAGUUAAAUUCCGAGCUCUACUCAAGACUCAGAAAACAUCGAACCUAUCUAAUUUAAUUCUUUUUAAAACCAUAAACUUGUAGAAAAGAGAAAAAUUUGCAAUAAUGAUAAAGAGUUUCUUCAACUACUUCCCGUUAAAUGGAUCAGCCAUUUGACUCAUUUAAGAAGACAGCCAUAAGUUAGAUAUCAUCCUAACUGUCUCCAUUUUUCAAAUUAACAUCUCAAUAUCCUCAACUCUCUCUCUCUCGUUAACGAACCAAUUUCCCAUACGUCUCUACUUUCUUCCUUCAACGUUUUAAACUAACAAACUUUUUAUUAUCAUGAUGUAUCCUUUCUUUGUAUCCUACUUUCUUUUUCGAGGGCUUUGUCAUAUUUUGUCAUCCGAUGUUUCAUGGAUCAUCCAAUUGAUAGGAAGAUUGAAAGUUUAUUUUAAAACGAUAACCAAGAACGUGACCUCUUAUUUAAUUUGAAGUGAACGUAAUUAUAUUCACCAUUUAUUUUUGUUCGGUAACCAAAGAUAACAAAACACACCCACGUAAAGAAAUGAUUAUGGCCAUGUGUUGUCCUUGCUUUGUCGAAUGCAUUAGUGGCAUUUACUUUCUUUUUUGAAACAUUAGUCGCACUUACAUAUAUGACCGCUGACCUACUGAAAGAAUUAUAUUUAGACAGCAAAUUAACAACUGUACAAUUGUCAAAAAUAAACGUUUCUUUUUAAAGGCUUUAAAAAUAAAAAUUGUUAUAUAAAUAAUUAGUUGCAAUGAACGAAUCUAUAUUAUUAAAACAAAAGUACAUAUUUUCAGCAUUAUCACGAUUUUUUUUUUCAGAAUCAUUUUUCGUUUUUUUUUUUAUUUUCUGUUGUUUUUAGUUUUUAGUAAGGCUUAAAGUUUUUUUUUAGUGAAAUGAGAAAAAUCUGCUAGGAUCGUAAGUGGAUGGCAUGUUCUGGUUAGGUGGUUUCUUGUUUGAAUUGGGACCGUUUUUCGCAUUGUAUUAUUCUUUAGUGGAUGUAACAUCCUCCUUGUGGACUGCAAAGUAUAAAGCUCAAUGAAGGGCAUCAUCCAAUGAUAUUGGUGCUCUCACUAACAUCUCUUCUCUGAACCUAAGUGAGAACCAUACUCCUUUCUUGAGGGCCGCAAAGGUUAUUUUUUCGUUGAGGUCUGAGAUUCGAGCUUUUAUAUCCUUGAACAGUGUGAUGUACAACCUAAAAAUUUGAAUGGUGCUUACUUUAGGUUUCACAAAUCCGUUUUUGAAGCUGCUGGUUUAAUGAAUACUGAGUAUUGCUUUAGGAUUGCGAAUACAAUUUGGGUAAAGUUAACAAUGUAAUUUCUUUUGAGUCUUGUGAACCACCCAAAUGUCGGGUCGAUUAAGUUAUCGGUGAAGAAACAUCAAUAAUUGACUUCUUUCUCUUUGUCAGUUAGAUGAGCUCAAGAGACAGCUAGAUGAGCUCAAGAGUCAGUUAGAUGAGCUCAAGAGACAGCUAGGCAAAAAGCUUAUGUGUUCCUAGAGUAUUUUUGGGAACCAGAUUUUCCUUAUGUCAUGCAGUCGUAGACUUUCUAUUCAAUUUGUGGAAGGAGUGCACCAGACUUCUUCUAUGACGCGAUCUAUAUCUGGAAUAAAUCUUGUCGCCAUGUUUAUGAUGGCGUGGAUUCUUGGUAACUAGUCAUUAUUCUUCUCAAACCUUGGAAAGCUUCAACAUCAAUCAUACUUCUUGAGUCUACCCCUUCAGGAUUCAUGGGGUUACGUUUUCAGGAGCUCAAAAGCUCGGAAGUUCCCGUGUGGUCAGGUCAUCCAUCACUUAAGUUAAAAGGGGUUCGAACUGGCAGACUUCAUGUUUGAGUUCUCUAGUUUGAAUAUCGACCAACAUGUUUAAUCUCAACUGCGAUUGAUUGUUCCAUAUCAAGGUGUUGUCCUAGAUGCAUGCUUCCUUGAUCUCAAAGAGUACAAAUCGGGAGUUGAGAAACUCAGAAGUCCUAAGAUUCCCUGGGUAAUUCAGCUGUUAUCAAGGUGUGAGACUCGAUUUUUUGCUUCAGGUCGGCUUCCUAAGUGUUCAAGUAUUUUGGCUAGAUGUGACGUGAGAUUCUUUUCAUUUUGUUAUAAGGAACAAAGAAUAGUUCGUUGAGCGAGCUCUUGGCUUUGAGAUUCAUCUAUUACAAUGGUAUCACAACUCAAUUAUUUCUUCGAGGGUAUGUGCCGUUGGCAAGGAAAAUACUGAUUCUUGAUACCAUGGUUUGAGGUCAUCUCGUAUUGGUCUGCCAUUGUGGCAGAGAGCCCGAAUAAUCGGGGAUCAUAGAGGAUUCUGAGAUUUUAAAAGGGGUUGAUCCAUGUUGUAGUAAGCUCGUCCUGUUAGUUACAUUUGAUUCGGUUUGCUCUGUAUCUGUGGGCAAGAUAUCAAUUUUGUUUCUUAUUUCAGAUCUUAUGAGAUCGGCACCA